GACGAACGCUGGCGGCGUGCUUAACACAUGCAAGUCGAGCGGAAAGGCUCCUUCGGGGGUACUCGAGCGGCGAACGGGUGAGUAACACGUGAGUAAUCUGCCCUUCACUUUGGGAUAACUGCCUGAAAGGGUGGCUAAUACCGGGUAUUCUCCUUGCACCGCAUGGUGUGGGGUGGGAAGUUUUUUCGGUGGGGGAUGUGCUCGCGGCCUAUCAGCUUGUUGGUGGGGUAAUGGCCUACCAAGGCUUUGACGGGUAGCCGGCCUGAGAGGGUGACCGGCCACACUGGGACUGAGACACAGCCCAGACUCCUACGGGAGGCAGCAGUGGGGAAUAUUGGACAAUGGGCGGAAGCCUGAUCCAGCAACGCCGCGUGAGGGAUGACGGCCUUCGGGUUGUAAACCUCUUUCAGCACAGACGAAGCGCCUGUGAAGGUGGUGACGGUAUGUGCAGAAGAAGCACCGGCCAACUACGUGCCAGCAGCCGCGGUAAUACGUAGGGUGCGAGCGUUGUCCGGAAUUAUUGGGCGUAAAGGGCUCGUAGGCGGUUUGUCGCGUCGGGAGUGAAAUCCACUGGCUUAACUGGUGGCUUGCUUUCGAUACGGGCAGACUGGAGGUAUGCAGGGGAGAACGGAAUUCCUGGUGUAGCGGUGAGAUGCGCAGAUAUCAGGAGGAACACCGGUGGCGAAGGCGGUUCUCUGGGCAUGUCCUGACGCUGAGGAGCGAAAGUGUGGGGAGCGAACAGGAUUAGAUACCCUGGUAGUCCACACCGUAAACGUUGGGCGCUAGGUGUGGGAUCCAUUCCACGGGUUCCGUGCCGCAGCUAACGCAUUAAGCGCCCCGCCUGGGGAGUACGGCCGCAAGGCUAAAACUCAAAGGAAUUGACGGGGGCCCGCACAAGCGGCGGAGCAUGCGGAUUAAUUCGAUGCAACGCGAAGAACCUUACCUGGGUUUGACAUACGCCGGAAAGCUCUAGAGAUAGAGCCCCUUUUAGUCGGUGUACAGGUGGUGCAUGGCUGUCGCCAGCUCGUGUCGUGAGAUGUUGGGUUAAGUCCCGCAACGAGCGCAACCCUCGUCCCAUGUUGCCAGCAGCGCCUUCGGGCGGCUGGGGACUCAUGGGAGACUGCCGGGGUCAACUCGGAGGAAGGUGGGGAUGACGUCAAGUCAUCAUGCCCCUUAUGUCCAGGGCUUCACGCAUGCUACAAUGGCCGGUACAAAGGGCUGCGAUCCCGUGAGGGGGAGCGAAUCCCAAAAAGCCGGUCUCAGUUCGGAUUGGGGUCUGCAACUCGACCCCAUGAAGUCGGAGUCGCUAGUAAUCGCAGAUCAGCAACGCUGCGGUGAAUACGUUCCCGGGCCU
rnacentral:rRNA from 1 species